GGUUCUUUCAGUCCUUGUCGGUUCAUUGUCGUUGUCACGUCUUGCCAUGUCAUAGUCGCCAGUUGUUUUUGUCAUAGUCGCCUGUUGUUUUAGCAUUGUGAUUAAAUAUUAUUAUUUUGAGAUUCCCGCACUCCUGCCUUGCCUCCCUGCUUCCCUGCAAUUGGGUCCACCAUGUUCUUGCCUUGCGUUCCUCGCCGUCGCCCUAACCAUGUUCAUGACAGAAUGAACCGACCAGAACAGGACCCAGCGGGAAGAACAUGGCGUCACCCUGGACGCCACCAAACUGCCUCCCACCGUCCUCAGCCUGCCAUCCAUACCUACCCUCCUCCAUCACGUCUAGAACCGCUCAGCCAAGCACCUCACCUCGGGUGGCCUGGAUGGCCACCAGACUAUCCUGAGGGGCUGUUCAUUUCGGAUACAGAAGAUGAGGACUUUGAUGGAUUUGUGGAUGAGGAUUGAUCAAAACCUAACAGGGUGUCUCGCCACCGUCACCGUUCGUCUUGAGGCUGAUGGAGGACGAUGGGGAGGAGGUGGAUGAUCCUCCGAUACUACCUGACUUUUUUCUGGACACCGUGCCCUGUUUCAGCGUGGCUUUGGCGGCCACUUUGAAGGCGUGGGCUGCUGUACUGCACCUGACUUCCUCUAUUGUGUUCCUGGAGGAUUUAAAGAGGAUGAUGUAGACCUUGUUGAAAAAAAUACACGCCAGCAGCCCAAAGCUGGACGCCAGAAUUGCAAUGACCUCCACUGCUGAAACAAACUUGCCAUAAGUACUAAAGUAAGCGGGGAUGAAGGAGAUCCAAACUAUGAAGAAUAUGAGCAUGCUAAAAGUAAUGAACUUGGCUUCGGUGAAGUUUUCUGGAAGUUUGCGGGAUUUGAAUGCAAAGAAGAAAGAGACUGCCGCCAGGAGAGAUGUGUAGCCAAUGAGAAAUGCAAGAGCCAUCUCAGAGCCCUCAUUGCAGGUGAUGAAGAUAAUCUCGUCGAUGUCAUGGUUCAUAUAGCUGGAAGGGGGAGCAUUGUAAAGCCACACAACGCAUAUCAUAACUUGGACAAAUGUGAAGAGAAACACCAAAAGAAACUGCAGGUUUAAUCCCCACCAUUUACGUUGGAAACUGGUUGGAAUCUUGGCCUCAAAGACCAAAAGCACUCUGUUGGUUUUGACAAGGAUGCAAGAGAUGCAAAGAACAAAACUGACACCGAAAGCUGGUUGACGCAGACGGCACAUCCAAUCGUGCGGCUGUCCAAUGAAGAUAAGUGAGCUGGAGAAACAACAGAUAAGCGAGAAGAGUAGCAAAUAAGACAACUCUCGGUUUGUGGCCUUCACUAUGGGGGUGUUGCGGAAUUUGACAAACACUCCCAUGACAAAAGCUGUCAUGACGACACCCAGCACUGCACAUAUGGCCAAAGCUAUCCCAAAUGGUUCAGUCCAGGACAGAAACUCAAUUUCCUUUAAAAAGCACGAGGUGUGGUUCCCACUGGACCAGGAGUUAUUGGGACAUUUGGUGCAAAUACUGGCAUCUGUAUGCAAAAUAAGAUGAACAUUAGAAUAAUUUUUCAAGAGUGCAACAUAAACAUCUGCUCUCAGCGUACCUUUGUUGUUACUGAACUCCCCAUCUGAGCACUCGGUGCAUUCAAAGCAACAAGUGGGCAUACUGUCUAUGAUGCCCUUCCUGGUGCCAGGUUCACAGUCCUCACUGCAAUUGGAGAAUGGCACCUAACAGAUUGGAAACAGGCAAACGUUGUAUAAGAGAGUGAGCAGAAUUGCUAUAAAUGAAAGGUUCCAUCCAGACAUUUAUCCACCCACACAUCCAUUUUCUAUACAGUACUGUUGAUCCUGUUUAUGGUCAUGGCCAGUGUGAAAGAGGCUAUUGUGUGUCACACUGUUUACUAUCACGCUAAUCUUCCUACAUACCCCUGUGUAAAAACACAAACCAGAUCUGGAAUUUCUGUUCCCGACUGAACUGAACCAAUUUAGAACUACCCCUGACAAAACAUUGUGAUUGUUAUGUACCUCAAAACUGUACCCAUUCCAGAGAAUCUUUGUCUUGUCAAUUACCAGCUUGGCUCCUCUCUUUGAAUGAAUAUUAUAGUAUCCAAUCUCCUCAAACACCACAGAACCAUCUUCAGCAGAUCUGUGCCA